GCCUUACGAGGCGCAGCAGGCGCGAAACCUCCGCAAUACACGAAAGUGUGACGGGGUUACCCAAAGUGUUCAAUAGAACUGUGGUAGGUGAGUAAUGUUCCCUACUAGAAAGGAGAGGGCAAGGCUGGUGCCAGCCGCCGCGGUAAAACCAGCUCUUCAAGUGGUCGGGAUAAUUAUUGGGCUUAAAGUGUCCGUAGCCGGUUUAGUAAGUUCCUGGUAUAAUCGGGUAGCUUAACUAUCUAUAUGCUAGGAAUACUACUAUACUAGAGGGCGGGAGAGGUCUGAGGUACUA
rnacentral:rRNA from 1 species